rnacentral:rRNA from 1 species
UACAGAGGUGGCAAGCGUUGUUCGGAAUUACUGGGCGUAAAGGGCGCGUAGGCGGUUCGUUAAGUCCUGUGUGAAAUCCCCCGGCUCAACUGGGGAACUGCACAGGAAACUAGCGGGCUUGAGUUCGGGAGAGGGAAGCGGAAUCCCGGGUGUAGCGGUGAAAUGCGUAGAUAUCCGGAGGAACACCGGUGGCGAAGGCGGCUUCCUGGACCGACACUGACGCUGAGGCGCGAAAGCUAGGGGAGCAAACGGG